rnacentral:rRNA from 1 species
GUGAACGCUGGCGGUAGGCCUAACACAUGCAAGUCGAACGGCAGCACAGUAAGAGCUUGCUCUUACGGGUGGCGAGUGGCGGACGGGUGAGGAAUACAUCGGAAUCUACUUUUUCGUGGGGGAUAACGUAGGGAAACUUACGCUAAUACCGCAUACGACCUACGGGUGAAAGCAGGGGAUCUUCGGACCUUGCGCGACUGAAUGAGCCGAUGUCGGAUUAGCUAGUUGGCGGGGUAAAGGCCCACCAAGGCGACGAUCCGUAGCUGGUCUGAGAGGAUGAUCAGCCACACUGGAACUGAGACACGGUCCAGACUCCUACGGGAGGCAGCAGUGGGGAAUAUUGGACAAAGGGCGCAAGCCUGAUCCAGCCAUACCGCGUGGGUGAAGAAGGCCUUCGGGUUGUAAAGCCCUUUUGUUGGGAAAGAAAAGCAGCAGGUUAAUACCCCGCUGUUCUGACGGUACCCAAAGAAUAAGCACCGGCUAACUUCGUG